rnacentral:rRNA from 1 species
UACGUAGGGCGCAAGCGUUGUCCGGAAUUAUUGGGCGUAAAGAGCUUGUAGGCGGCCUGUCGCGUCUGCUGUGAAAUCCCGGGGCUUAACCCCGGGCGUGCAGUGGAUACGGGCUGGCUGGAGGCAGGCAGGGGAGAACGGAAUUCCCGGUGUAGCGGUGAAAUGCGCAGAUAUCGGGAGGAACACCGGUGGCGAAGGCGGUUCUCUGGGCCUGUACUGACGCUGAGGAGCGAAAGCGUGGGGAGCGAACAGG